UUCUUUGUGCCACAGGUGAAGGAGGAGGUCCUCAGUGAUGAUGAAGAGAUAACUGAGUUGUGGCCCAGAAAACCAACUGUAUCCCAAGCUACAUCAAAAGGAGCAUGACCAGGAGGUCAAAGAAGGUACAUUUGAAUACUGUACCAGAAGAUGUGAAACUGCCACCCUUUCUAGGCCCUGCAAACACUCUGCUGAAGAACAGAUGAUGGAGGUUUCUCACACCCCUAAAUCCAAGAAACAAAUCCCCACAGAGCCUAAAUUGGAUCACCAGAGACUGAGCAGCAUUUAGCAAGUUGCGUGUCUCCUAUUGGUAUGAUGCAUCUUCUUCCCCAUACCCUAUCAGCUCUGCUCUGUGGACCAACUUUCUUUUAUAUCCCUCCAAAGCCUAGAUUCAUAUCACCUGCCUAAGCUAAGCAUCACAAAUACAUAUAUAGUAAAUAGAGUGUCACCUGCUUAGGACAACUCAAAGAUAAGCCUCCAGAAAUGGUUCUUUCUGACUAUUUAGAAAGUUAAAGUGACUGUCUUCUAACAUUACACUUCUUACUCUGGUGCCUU